UAGGGAAUCUUCGGCAAUGGACGAAAGUCUGACCGAGCAACGCCGCGUGAGUGAAGAAGGUUUUCGGAUCGUAAAACUCUGUUGGUAGAGAAGAACGUUGGUGAGAGUGGAAAGCUCAUCAAGUGACGGUAACUACCCAGAAAGGGACGGCUAACUACGUGCCAGCAGCCGCGGUAAUACGUAGGUCCCGAGCGUUGUCCGGAUUUAUUGGGCGUAAAGCGAGCGCAGGUGGUUUAUUAAGUCUGGUGUAAAAGGCAGUGGCUCAACCAUUGUAUGCAUUGGAAACUGGUAGACUUGAGUGCAGGAGAGGAGAGUGGAAUUCCAUGUGUAGCGGUGAAAUGCGUAGAUAUAUGGAGGAACACCGGUGGCGAAAAGCGG
rnacentral:rRNA from 1 species